rnacentral:rRNA from 1 species
GUGAGUAAAGUAUCGGAACGUGCCCAGUCGUGGGGGAUAACGUAGCGAAAGCUACGCUAAUACCGCAUACGAUCUGAGGAUGAAAGCGGGGGACCGUAAGGCCUCGCGCGAUCGGAGCGGCCGAUGUCAGAUUAGGUAGUUGGUGGGGUAAAGGCCUACCAAGCCGACGAUCUGUAGCUGGUCUGAGAGGACGACCAGCCACACUGGGACUGAGACACGGCCCAGACUCCUACGGGAGGCAGCAGUGGGGAAUUUUGGACAAUGGGCGCAAGCCUGAUCCAGCAAUGCCGCGUGCAGGAAGAAGGCCUUCGGGUUGUAAACUGCUUUUGUACGGAGCGAAAAGGCUCUCUCUAAUACAGGGGGCUGAUGACGGUACCGUAAGAAU